rnacentral:rRNA from 1 species
ACAUGCCUACAACAUAGUGUUAAUKCACURGAUCCCAUUAGAACUYCGUAGUUAAGUUCGUUCGRGCUAGAGUAGUAGUGGGAURGGUGACCACUUGGGAAGUCCAAYUGUUUUACAUGCC